rnacentral:rRNA from 1 species
GAUGAACGCUAGCGGGAGGCCUAACACAUGCAAGCCGAGCGGUAUUAUUUCUUCGGAAAUGAGAGAGCGGCGUACGGGUGCGGAACACGUGUGCAACCUGCCUUUAUCUAGGGGAUAGCCUUUCGAAAGGAAGAUUAAUACCCUAUAAUAUAUUUUUUGGCAUCGAAAGAUAUUGAAAACUCCGAUGGAUAGAGAUGGGCACGCGCAAGAUUAGCUAGUUGGUGAGGUAACGGCUCACCAAGGCAAUGACCUUUAGGGGGCCUGAGAGGGUGAUCCCCCACACUGGUACUGAGACACGGACCAGACUCCUACGGGAGGCAGCAGUAAGGAAUAUUGGGCAAUGGGUGCAAGCCUGAACCAGCCAUCCCGCGUGAAGGACGACUGCCCUAUGGGUUGUAAACUUCUUUUGUAUAGGGAUAAACCUACCCUCGUGAGGGUAGCUGAAGGUACUAUACGAAUAAGCACCGGCUAACUCCGUGCCAGCCGCCGCAGUAA